rnacentral:rRNA from 1 species
AUUGAACGCUGGCGGCAGGCCUAACACAUGCAAGUCGAACGAGUGGCGGACGGGUGAGUAAUGUCUGGGAAACUGCCCGAUGGCGGGGGAUAACUACUGGAAACGGUAGCCAAUACCGCAUACCCUCGGAUGUGCCCAGAUGGGAUUAGCUAGUAGGUGGGGGAACGGCACACAUAGGCGACGAUCCCUAGCUGGUCUGAGAGGGUGACGAGCCAACCUGGAACUGAGAAACGGUCCAGACGCCUACGGGAGGAAGCAGGGGGGAAUAUUGCACAAUGGACGCAAGCCUAGUGCAGCCAUGCCGCGUGGAUGAAGAGGGCCUUCGGGUUGUAAAGUACUUUCAGCGGGGAGGCGUUACUCGCAGAAGAAGCACCGGCUAAAACCGUGCCAGCAGCCGCGGUAAUAC